rnacentral:rRNA from 1 species
GAUGAACGCUGGCGGCGUGCCUAAUACAUGCAAGUCGAGCGAACGGACGAGAAGCUGGCUUCUCUGAUGUUAGCGGCGGACGGGUGAGUAACACGUGGAUAACCUACCUAUAAGACUGGGAUAACUUCGGGAAACCGGAGCUAAUACCGGAUGAUAUUUUGAACCGCAUGGUUCAAAAGUGAAAGACGGUCUUGCUGUCACUUAUAGAUUGAUCCGCACGGCAUUAGCUAGUUGGUAAGGUAACGGCUUACCAAGGCAACGAUGCAUAGCCGACCUGAUAAGGAGAUCGGCCACACUGGAACUGAACCACGGUCCCGACUCACACGGAAGCAAACAGUCGGGCAUCUGCCGCAUUGGGCGAUAGAUCGACGGAGCAACGCCGCGCGAGUGAUAAUGGUAAUCGGAACGUAAGACUCUGUUAUUAGGGAAGAACAUAAGUGCAAGUAAAUGUGCAAAUCUUGACGGUACCUAAUCAGAAAGCCAAGGCUAACAACGUG